rnacentral:rRNA from 1 species
GGGUAGAAUUCCAGGUGUAGCGGUGAAAUGCGUAGAGAUCUGGAGGAAUACCGGUGGCGAAGGCGGCCCCCUGGACAAAGACUGACGCUCAGGUGCGAAAGCGUGGGGAGCAAACAGGAUUAGAUACCCUGGUAGUCCACGCCGUAAACGAUGUCUACUUGGAGGUUGUGCCCUUGAGGCGUGGCUUCCGGAGCUAACGCGUUAAGUAGACCGCCUGGGGAGUACGGCCGCAAGGUUAAAACUCAAAUGAAUUGACGGGGGCCCGCACAAGCGGUGGAGCAUGUGGUUUAAUUCGAUGCAACGCGAAGAACCUUACCUGGUCUUGACAUCCACAGAACUUUCCAGAGAUGGAUUGGUGCCUUCGGGAACUGUGAGACAGGUGCUGCAUGGCUGUCGUCAGCUCGUGUUGUGAAAUGUUGGGUUAAGUCCCGCAACGAGCGCAAC